rnacentral:rRNA from 1 species
CAGUCGCCGCGGUAAUGCGAAGGGGGCUAGCGUUGUUCGGAUUAACUGGGCGUAAAGGGCGCGUAGGCGGGUUUUUAAGUCAGAGGUGAAAUCCCAAGGCUCAACCUGGGAACUGCAUUCGUGACUGGCAAGCUAGAGUAUGGCAGAGGGGGGUGGAAUUCCACGUGUAGCAGUGAAAUGCGUAGAGAUGUGGAGGAACACCGAUGGCGAAGGCAGCCCCCUGGGCCAAUACUGACGCUCAUGCACGAAAGCGUGGGGAGCAAACAGGAUUAGAGACCCCUGUAGUCCCUGUCUCUUAUAC